AUACGUAGGUGACAAGCGUUAUCCGGAUUUACUGGGCGUAAAGGGCGUGUAGGCGGUCUUGCAAGUCAGAAGUGAAAUUCCUGAGCUCAACUCGGGCGCUGCUUCUGAAACUGCAGGACUUGAGUGCUGGAGGGGAUAGCGGAAUUCCUAGUGGAGCGGUAAAAUGCGCAGAUAUUAGGAAGAACACCGGUGGCGAAGGCGGCUAUCUGGACAGUAACUGACGCUGAGGCGCGAAAGCGUGGGGAGCAAACAGGAUUAGAUACCCUGGUAGUCCACGCCGCAAACGAUGAAUACUAGGUGUAGGGGGUAUCGACUCCCUCUGUGCCGCAGUUAACACAAUAAGUAUUCCGCCUGGGGAGUACGGCCGCAAGGUUGAAACUCAAAUGAAUUGACGGGG
rnacentral:rRNA from 1 species